UACGAAGGGUGCAAACGUUGCUCGGAAUUAUUGGGCGUAAAGCGCACGUAGGCGGCUAGGAAAGUCGGAUGUGAAAUCCCUCGGCUCAACCAAGGAAGUGCAUCCGAAACUGCCAAGCUUGAGUACUUAAGAGGAUCGCGGAAUUCCCGGUGUAGAGGUGAAAUUCGUAGAUAUCGGGAGGAACACCUGCGGCGAAGGCGGCUACCUGGACAGAAACUGACGCUGAGGCGCGAAAGCUAGGGGAGCGAACGGG
rnacentral:rRNA from 1 species